CUAAGUUUGAUGGCGACCGGCGCACGGGUGAGUAACACGUAUCCAACCUGCCGAUGACUCGGGGAUAGCCUUUCGAAAGAAAGAUUAAUACCCGAUGGCAUAGUUCUUCCGCAUGGUGGAACUAUUAAAGAAUUUCGGUCAUCGAUGGGGAUGCGUUCCAUUAGGUUGUUGCGGGGUAACGGCCCACCAAGCCUUCGAUGGAUAGGGGUUCUGAGAGGAAGGUCCCCCACAUUGGAACUGAGACACGGUCCAAACUCCUACGGGAGGCAGCAUG
rnacentral:rRNA from 1 species